UGGGGAAUAUUGGACAAUGGGGGCAACCCUGAUCCAGCCAUGCCGCGUGUGUGAAGAAGGCCUUUUGGUUGUAAAGCACUUUAAGCAGUGAAGAAGACUCCAUGGUUAAUACCCAUGGACGAUGACAUUAGCUGCAGAAUAAGCACCGGCUAACUCUGUGCCAGCAGCCGCGGUAAUACAGAGGGUGCAAGCGUUAAUCGGAAUUACUGGGCGUAAAGCGAGCGUAGGUGGCUUGAUAAGUCAGAUGUGAAUGCCCCGGGCUUAACCUGGGAACGGCAUCUGAUACUGUUAGGCUAGAGUAGGUGAGAGGAAGGUAGAAUUCCAGGUGUAGCGGUGAAAUGCGUAGAGAUCUGGAGGAAUACCGAUGGCGAAGGCAGCCUUCUUGCAGCAUACUGACUCUGAGGUUCGAAAGCGUGAGUAGCAAACA
rnacentral:rRNA from 1 species